rnacentral:tmRNA from 2 species
GGGGAUGUACUGGUUUUCGACGGGGGAAGGAUUGGCUUUGUAAGCGAGCCGGCGUUCCAUAUGGCCGUAAAACUGUGGAAAAACAAUAAAUGACAAACAAGAAUUAGCUUUAGCUGCUUAAUCGCAGUCUAACCUCGGCCGCUCUGCUCCUGCGAUGCGCGGUAUGGGGUCAUUAGGUCAGGAUACUGUAGCGCUUAUUCUCGGCGGCGCUGCGGGAAACUUUAUCGAGAUGGCAUAACAGGCCUUUGUUUGUGUAGACCUUUUAUGUGAGAUGAAACAUAAACUGCGCUCGGAGAAAGCAUUGUGGGUCCUCUUUCGGACAGGGGUUCGACUCCCCUCAUCUCCACCA